CGUGGUCAGCAGCAUAAUAUCAUGGUCAGCAGCAGGAUAAUAACGUGGUCAGCAGCAGAAUACCAUGGUCAGCAGGAUAAUAACGUGGUCUGCAGCAAAAUAUAGUGGUCAGCAGGAUAAUAUCGUGGUCAGCAGCAGAUUACCGUGGUCAGCGGCAUAACAUUGUGAUCAGCAGGAUAAUAACGUGGUCAGCAGGAUAACAU